UUAAGUUAUUAAGGGCGCACGGUGGAUGCCUUGGCACUAGAAGCCGAUGAAGGACGUUACUAACGACGAUAUGCUUUGGGGAGCUGUAAGUAAGCUUUGAUCCAGAGAUUUCCGAAUGGGGAAACCCAGCAUGAGUUAUGUCAUGUUAUCGAUAUGUGAAUACAUAGCAUAUCAGAAGGCACACCCGGAGAACUGAAACAUCUUAGUACCCGGAGGAAGAGAAAGAAAAUUCGAUUCCCUUAGUAGCGGCGAGCGAAACGGGAAGAGCCCAAACCAACAAGCUUGCUUGUUGGGGUUGUAGGACACUCUGUACGGAGUUACAAAGGACGACAUUAGACGAAUCAUCUGGAAAGAUGAAUCAAAGAAGGUAAUAAUCCUGUAGUCGAAAAUGUUGUCUCUCUUGAGUGGAUCCUGAGUACGACGGAGCACGUGAAAUUCCGUCGGAAUCUGGGAGGACCAUCUCCUAAGGCUAAAUACUCUCUAGUGACCGAUAGUGAACCAGUACCGUGAGGGAAAGGUGAAAAGCACCCCGGAAGGGGAGUGAAAUAGAACCUGAAACCGUGUGCUUACAAGUAGUCAGAGCCCGUUAAUGGGUGAUGGCGUGCCUUUUGUAGAAUGAACCGGCGAGUUACGAUUUGAUGCAAGGUUAAGCAGUAAAUGUGGAGCCGUAGCGAAAGCGAGUCUGAAUAGGGCGUUUAGUAUUUGGUCGUAGACCCGAAACCAGGUGAUCUACCCUUGGUCAGGUUGAAGUUCAGGUAACACUGAAUGGAGGACCGAACCGACUUACGUUGAAAAGUGAGCGGAUGAACUGAGGGUAGCGGAGAAAUUCCAAUCGAACCUGGAGAUAGCUGGUUCUCUCCGAAAUAGCUUUAGGGCUAGCCUCAAGUGAUGAUUAUUGGAGGUAGAGCACUGUUUGGACGAGGGGCCCCUCUCGGGUUACCGAAUUCAGACAAACUCCGAAUGCCAAUUAAUUUAACUUGGGAGUCAGAACAUGGGUGAUAAGGUCCGUGUUCGAAAGGGAAACAGCCCAGACCACCAGCUAAGGUCCCAAAAUAUAUGUUAAGUGGAAAAGGAUGUGGCGUUGCCCAGACAACUAGGAUGUUGGCUUAGAAGCAGCCAUCAUUUAAAGAGUGCGUAAUAGCUCACUAGUCGAGUGACACUGCGCCGAAAAUGUACCGGGGCUAAACAUAUUACCGAAGCUGUGGAUUGUCCUUUGGACAAUGGUAGGAGAGCGUUCUAAGGGCGUUGAAGCAUGAUCGUAAGGACAUGUGGAGCGCUUAGAAGUGAGAAUGCCGGUGUGAGUAGCGAAAGACGGGUGAGAAUCCCGUCCACCGAUUGACUAAGGAUUCCAGAGGAAGGCUCGUCCGCUCUGGGUUAGUCGGGUCCUAAGCUGAGGCCGACAGGCGUAGGCGAUGGAUAACAGGUUGAUAUUCCUGUACCACCUAUAAUCGUUUUAAUCGAUGGGGGGACGCAGUAGGAUAGGCGAAGCGUGCGAUUGGAUUGCACGUCUAAGCAGUAAGGCUGAGUAUUAGGCAAAUCCGGUACUCGUUAAGGCUGAGCUGUGAUGGGGAGAAGACAUUGUGUCUUCGAGUCGUUGAUUUCACACUGCCGAGAAAAGCCUCUAGAUAGAAAAUAGGUGCCCGUACCGCAAACCGACACAGGUAGUCAAGAUGAGAAUUCUAAGGUGAGCGAGCGAACUCUCGUUAAGGAACUCGGCAAAAUGACCCCGUAACUUCGGGAGAAGGGGUGCUCUUUAGGGUUAACGCCCAGAAGAGCCGCAGUGAAUAGGCCCAAGCGACUGUUUAUCAAAAACACAGGUCUCUGCUAAACCGUAAGGUGAUGUAUAGGGGCUGACGCCUGCCCGGUGCUGGAAGGUUAAGAGGAGUGGUUAGCUUCUGCGAAGCUACGAAUCGAAGCCCCAGUAAACGGCGGCCGUAACUAUAACGGUCCUAAGGUAGCGAAAUUCCUUGUCGGGUAAGUUCCGACCCGCACGAAAGGCGUAACGAUUUGGGCACUGUCUCAACGAGAGACUCGGUGAAAUCAUAGUACCUGUGAAGAUGCAGGUUACCCGCGACAGGACGGAAAGACCCCGUGGAGCUUUACUGUAGCCUGAUAUUGAAAUUCGGCACAGCUUGUACAGGAUAGGUAGGAGCCUUUGAAACGUGAGCGCUAGCUUACGUGGAGGCGCUGGUGGGAUACUACCCUAGCUGUGUUGGCUUUCUAACCCGCACCACUUAUCGUGGUGGGAGACAGUGUCAGGCGGGCAGUUUGACUGGGGCGGUCGCCUCCUAAAAGGUAACGGAGGCGCUCAAAGGUUCCCUCAGAAUGGUUGGAAAUCAUUCAUAGAGUGUAAAGGCAUAAGGGAGCUUGACUGCGAGACCUACAAGUCGAGCAGGGUCGAAAGACGGACUUAGUGAUCCGGUGGUUCCGCAUGGAAGGGCCAUCGCUCAACGGAUAAAAGCUACCCCGGGGAUAACAGGCUUAUCUCCCCCAAGAGUUCACAUCGACGGGGAGGUUUGGCACCUCGAUGUCGGCUCAUCGCAUCCUGGGGCUGUAGUCGGUCCCAAGGGUUGGGCUGUUCGCCCAUUAAAGCGGUACGCGAGCUGGGUUCAGAACGUCGUGAGACAGUUCGGUCCCUAUCCGUCGUGGGCGUAGGAAAUUUGAGAGGAGCUGUCCUUAGUACGAGAGGACCGGGAUGGACAUACCUCUGGUGUACCAGUUGUCGUGCCAACGGCAUAGCUGGGUAGCUAUGUGUGGACGGGAUAAGUGCUGAAAGCAUCUAAGCAUGAAGCCCCCCUCAAGAUGAGAUUUCCCAACUUCGGUUAUAAGAUCCCUCAAAGAUGAUGAGGUUAAUAGGUUCGAGGUGGAAGCAUGGUGACAUGUGGAGCUGACGAAUACUAAUCGAUCGAAGACUUAAUCAA
rnacentral:rRNA from 1 species